rnacentral:rRNA from 1 species
CCUACGGGAGGCAGCAGUAAGGAAUAUUGGGCAAUGGAGGCAACUCUGACCCAGCCAUGCCGCGUGAAGGAUGAAGGCCCUAUGGGUUGUAAACUUCUUUUGUACGGGAAUAAACCUGGUUACGUGUAACCAGUUGAAUGUACCGUAAGAAUAAGCACCGGCUAACUCCGUGCCAGCAGCCGCGGUAAUACGGAGGGUGCAAGCGUUAUCCGGAUUUAUUGGGUUUAAAGGGAGCGUAGGCGGGAUUGUAAGUCAGUGGUGAAAGCCCGUAGCUCAACUACGGAACUGCCAUUGAUACUGCAGACCUAGAGUACACUUGAAGUGGGCGGAAUGUGUCAUGUAGCGGUGAAAUGCUUAGAUAUGACACAGAACACCAAUUGCGAAGGCAGCUCACUAAAUUGUAACUGACGCUGAGGCUCGAUAGCGUGGGGAUCAAACAGGAUUAGAUACCCUGGUAGUCCACGCCGUAAACGAUGAUUACUCGAUGUUGGCGAUACACUGUCAGCGUCUGNGNGAAGACAUAAGUAAUACCACCUCGGGAGGUACGGUCGCGAAGACGUAGAACGUACAAACUAGAAGUAGACGGACGUGAGACGUUGCCGACGGACGACGACGAGGGGAGGGUUAGGGAG